rnacentral:tRNA from 1 species
CAGGCUAUAGCUUGUUAAGCACUUCAUUUACAAUGAAGGGACACUAUUCUAGUUGGCCUGAAUUAA